GCCAGUGUGGUGUAGUGGUUUGAGUGUUGGACGACAACUCUGGAGACCAGGGUUCAAUUCCCAGCUUUGUCA
rnacentral:tRNA from 1 species